CCUACGGGAGGCAGCAGUGGGGAAUAUUGCACAAUGGUGGAAACCCUGAUGCAGCAACGCCGCGUGAGUGAAGAAGGUUCUCGGAUUGUAAAGCUUCUUUAGCAGGGAAAAGGAAGGACGGUAGCUGCACAGGAAGCCACUGCUUACUACGUGCGAGCAGCCGCGGUAAUAAGUAGGGGGCAAGCGGUGUUCGGAAUAACUGGGCGUAAAGGAUUCGUAGGCGGUUAAACAAGUUAUAUGGUAAAUAUAUAGGCUGAACCUGGAGAAAGCAUAUAAAACUGUUUAACUAGAGUGCAGGAGAGGUAAGUGGAAUGCGUGGUGUAGCGGUGAAAUGCGUAGAGAUUAGGAAGAACACCAGUGGCGAAGGCGACAUACUGGACUGUAACUGACGCUGAGGCAUGAGAGCAUGGGGAGCGAACAGGAUUAGAUACCCCAGUAGUC
rnacentral:rRNA from 1 species